rnacentral:lncRNA from 1 species
UUACAUGAUCUUGUAAUGAAGACGUUUAUGAGAAAGAAGACACACAACACUUACUAAUAUUGCUCUGUGGCGACUUCACCAAAUGUUCUUCCCAGAGCAUAGAAUGCAAUUCAAAACCAUCGGUUUCUUGGGGCCAGCCCAGUGGUGCAGCGGUUAAGUUCACAUGUUCUGCUUCCGCGGCCCGGGGUUCGCCAGUUUGGAUCCUGAGUGUGGACUUAUGCACUGCUUGUUGAGCCACGCUGUGGCAGGCAUCCCACAUUGAUUCUCGUAUCCAUCUCAUCUUUAAGCCUUUCUUGUCUCCCCUCCUCAAUAGGAACUAACAGCUCCCAGAGAUGAUG